rnacentral:rRNA from 1 species
ACAAUGAAGAGUUUGAUCCUGGCUCAGGAUGAACGCUAGCUACAGGCUUAACACAUGCAAGUCGAGGGGCAUCAGGAAGAAAGCUUGCUUUCUUUGCUGGCGACCGGCGCACGGGUGAGUAACACGUAUCCAACCUGCCCUUUACUCGGGGAUAGCCUUUCGAAAGAAAGAUUAAUACCCGAUAGCAUAAUGAUUCCGCAUGGUUUCAUUAUUAAAGGAUUCCGGUAAAGGAUGGGGAUGCGUUCCAUUAGGUUGUUGGUGAGGUAACGGCCCACCAAGCCUUCGAUGGAUAGGGGUUCUGAGAGGAAGGUCCCCCACAUUGGAACUGAGACACGGUCCAAACUCCUACGGGAGGCAGCAGUGAGGAAUAUUGGUCAAUGGGCGUUAGCCUGAACCAGCCAAGUAGCGUGAAGGAUGAAGGCUCUAUGGGUCGUAAACUUCUUUUAUAUAAGAAUAAAGUGCAGUAUGUAUACUGUUUUGUAUGUAUUAUAUGAAUAAGGAUCGGCUAACUCCGUGCCAGCAGCCGCGGUAAUACGGAGGAUCCGAGCGUUAUCCGGAUUUAUUGGGUUUAAAGGGAGCGUAGGUGGACUGGUAAGUCAGUUGUGAAAGUUUGCGGCUCAACCGUAAAAUUGCAGUUGAUACUGUCAGUCUUGAGUACAGUAGAGGUGGGCGGAAUUCGUGGUGUAGCGGUGAAAUGCUUAGAUAUCACGAAGAACUCCGAUUGCGAAGGCAGCUCACUGGACUGCAACUGACACUGAUGCUCGAAAGUGUGGGUAUCAAACAGGAUUAGAUACCCUGGUAGUCCACACAGUAAACGAUGAAUACUCGCUGUUUGCGAUAUACAGUAAGCGGCCAAGCGAAAGCAUUAAGUAUUCCACCUGGGGAGUACGCCGGCAACGGUGAAACUCAAAGGAAUUGACGGGGGCCCGCACAAGCGGAGGAACAUGUGGUUUAAUUCGAUGAUACGCGAGGAACCUUACCCGGGCUUAAAUUGCAGUGGAAUGAUGUGGAAACAUGUCAGUGAGCAAUCACCGCUGUGAAGGUGCUGCAUGGUUGUCGUCAGCUCGUGCCGUGAGGUGUCGGCUUAAGUGCCAUAACGAGCGCAACCCUUAUCUUUAGUUACUAACAGGU